rnacentral:rRNA from 1 species
GCGGUCGAUGCUUACACAUGCAGUCGAUUCGAGUUACCUUCGGGUAAUGAGGAUGGCGGACGGGUGAGUAACGCGUAAGGAACUUGCCUCUUGGACUGGGACAACUGUUGGAAACGACAGCUAAUACCGGAUAUUAUGAGAUUCUCGCAUGAGAAACUUAUGAAAGCUAUAUGCGCCAAGAGAGAGCCUUGCGUUCCAUUAGCUAGUUGGUGGGGUAACGGCCCACCAAGGCGACGAUGGAUAGCCGGCCUGAGAGGGUGAACGGCCACAAGGGGACUGAGACACGGCCCUUACUCCUACGGGAGGCAGCAGUGGGGAAUAUUGGACAAUGGACCACAAGUCUGAUCCAGCAAUUCUGUGUGCACGAUGAAGGUCUUCGGAUUGUAAAGUGCUUUCAGUUGGGAAGAAGAAAGUGACGGUACCAACAGAAGAAGCGACGGCUAAAUACGUGCCAGCAGCCGCGGUAAUACGUAUGUCGCAAGCGUUAUCCGGAUUUAUUGGGCGUAAAGCGCGUCUAGGCGGAAAAAUAAGUCUGAUGUGAAAAUGCGGGGCUCAACUCCGUAUUGCGUUGGAAACUGUUUUUCUAGAGUACUGGAGAGGUGGGCGGAACUACAAGUGUAGAGGUGAAAUUCGUAGAUAUUUGUAGGAAUGCCGAUGGAGAAGUCAGCUCACUGGACAGAUACUGACGCUGAAGCGCGAAAGCGUGGGGAGCAAACAGGAUUAGAUACCCUGGUAGUCCACGCCGUAAACGAUGAUCACUAGGUGUUGGGGGGUCGAACCUCAGCGCCCAAGCUAACGCGAUAAGUGAUCCGCCUGGGGAGUACGCACGCAAGUGUGAAACUCAAAGGAAUUGACGGGGACCCGCACAAGCGGUGGAGCAUGUGGUUUAAUUCGACGCAACGCGAGAAACCUUACCAGCGUUUGACAUCCUAAGAAGUUUCUAGAGAUAGAUUCGUGCCGGCUUGCCGGAACUUAGUGACAGGUGGUGCAUGGCUGUCGUCAGCUCGUGUCGUGAAAAUGUUGGGGUUAAUUCCCGCAACGAGCGCAACCCCUAUUGUAUGUUGCUACCAUUAAAUUGAGCACUCAGGCGAUACUGCCGGCGAUGAGCGGGAGAAGAGGUGGGGGAAGAAGGUCUAGGAACAUGAGGCGCCUUAAAGAGGGGGGUGCGAAAGUGGG